CCUACGGGAGGCUGCAGUGAGGAAUAUUGGUCAAUGGCCGGAAGGCUGAACCAGCCAUGCCGCGUGAAGGUCAGUGCCCUAUGGGCGUUAAACUUCUUUUGUGUGGGAGCAAUAAUGGUCACGUGUGGCCAGACGAGAGUACCGUACGAAUAAGCAUCGGCUAACUCCGUGCCAGCAGCCGCGGUAAUACGGGGGAUGCAAGCGUUAUCCGGAUUUAUUGGGUUUAAAGGGUGCGUAGGCUGUGAGGUAAGUCAGCGAUGAAAUGCCCCCGCUCAACGGGGUGAAGUGCCAUUUAUACUGCCGGGGUGGAAUGCGGAUGCCGUGGGAGGAAGGUGUGGGUGAGCGGUGAAAUGAAAAGAUAGCACAAAGAAAACCGAUUGCGAAGGAAUCUCACGAAUCCGCGAUUGACGCUGAUGCACGAAAGCGUGGGUAUAAAACAGGAUUAGAUACCCUAGUAGUC
rnacentral:rRNA from 1 species